CUCUAAACUCUCUGUUUUUCUUUCUUGUUGUCAUCCGUAGGAUUUGCAGAAAGAACCAACAACUCCUACAGAUGAUGACAGUUCUCAUUCUAACACUAUUUAUGUUGUAACAAAGCCACUGGUUAAAUAAUGAGUCCAGAUAAAAAUGAUGUGAUAUCGUGAAGUCAUCUUCUUCAGAUUCGUAUUUGGGCAAGCUUCCAAAGGAUUUCCUAAGGCCAAAUCUAAAAUAGCGAAGAGGAAAAUACAUAAAUUUAUCCUUUAAUAAUUGAUGCUAAAAACUAAUUUUCAAAAUAUUCCCAGGAAAGUCCUAUCUUUGGACUUAAAUUACAA
rnacentral:lncRNA from 10 species